UCUCCACCAUACAUCUCUAACUUAACUUUACACUCUGACCUAAAAAUCAAAACAGUUCAUGAAGAAGCAGUCACUUUUUAAAAACGUUUCCAUUCCAAACUUCCUUUCCAUAUCAACCCACUCAUCUCAAAUCUUUCCUCCCUCACAAUUCCUGGAAAUCCUCCCAGGAGGCUUAGAAGAGAAUGGGGCCGUGAUCUUCUUAAUAACUAAUAAACAAUAACUCAAUUAAGGGCAGUGUUACCACUGGAUAGCUCCUCCCAUCAUCACAUAUUCUUAUUAUUCCUCAGGAAUAGAUUGUAUAUUAUACAAAUUUAAAAUAAAAAAAAAAAAAAAUGUAUACCUGUAAUAACCAACCAUAAACUAAGACAUGAACCAUUUCCAACCGAAAACAAUUCGGAGCAAAGUUCAGUUAUACAUAUUUUAAAAGGCCAUA